rnacentral:rRNA from 1 species
ACCCGCUGAACUUAAGCAUAUCAAUAAGCGGAGGAAAAGAAACUAACAAGGAUUCCACUAGUAACUGCGAGUGAAGCGGGAAAAGCUCAAAUUUAAAAUCUGGUGGCCUUUGUCCAUCCGAGUUGUAAUUUAGAGAAGCGUCUUCCGCGCUGGACCGUGCACAAGUCUCCUGGAAUGGAGCGUCAUAGAGGGUGAGAAUCCCGUCUUUGGCACGGACACACCAGGGCUUUUGUGAUGCGCUCUCGAAGAGUCGAGUUGUUUGGGAAUGCAGCUCAAAAUGGGUGGUGAACUCCAUCUAAAGCUAAAUAUUGGCGAGAGACCGAUAGCGAACAAGUACCGUGAGGGAAAGAUGAAAAGCACUUUGGAAAGAGAGUGAAACAGUACGUGAAAUUGUUGAAAGGGAAACGCUUGAAGUCAGUCGCGUCGCCCGAGACUCAACCUUGCCUCGGCUCGGUGUACUUCUCGGCUGACGGGUCAGCAUCAAUUUUGCCCCUUGGAUAAUGGCGAGGGAAAUGUGACACCUUUAUAGGUGUGUUAUAGUCUCUAGUCGCAUGCAAGGGUCGGGAUUGAGGAACUCAGCACGCGCUUUUGGGCGUCGGGGCGUUUCGCCCACGAUACGUGCUUAGGAUGUUGGCGUAAUGGCUUUAAACGACCCGUCUUGAAACACGG